CGGAGAAGUCCACGUGGAACAGGCCGAACCGGGCGCCGUAGCCGUCGGUCCACUCAAAGUUGUCCAGGAGGGACCAGGCGAAGUAACCGCGGACGUCGACCCCGUCCUCUUCAAUCGCUGCAGAGAUACACGGACAAAGAACUCAAUUAAGGUCAGCCAAGCCGCUACUGAGUCCUCUCCCUAACUGUCCGUCACCUUUGGCCACCUCCCCGACCGUCUCCCGGUAGAAGGCGGCGCGCUCGCCGUCCUCCAUCAGCACGGGGCCCGUCUGGGCGAAGCCGUUCUCGGUGAUGUAGACGGCGGGGUGGUUAAAGGUUGCCUGUAAAGUCAGCCGCGGCCACGUCAGCAAACGAUCAAUCAAGCGCCCUUUCGGCGCACAAAAACAAAAGACAAAAAGCCCCCCCCCCCCCCCCUCUCUCUCUCAGAGCGGGCGCCGUUUAAGCGCCGUGUUUCCACGGCGCCCGGGCUCAAACUAAUGGCGUGUGACAAGUCACAACACCAGGAAAUUGCUCGUUGGCAAAGCGUUUUCACUCGAAUAACUGCCUCUGUGACGGCGCUAAUGAAGCAGCGAUGUGUUUGUGUGGGGGGGGGGCCCCCCCCCCCCCCGC